CGGGGGUUAGGGGAGUCCCUCAGCCCAGAUUGUGAGAGGGCACAGGCCAGGCCGAGGGACCCCACCGGUGCACA
rnacentral:pre_miRNA from 1 species